UACGUAGGGUGCAAGCGUUAAUCGGAAUUACUGGGCGUAAAGCGUGCGCAGGCGGUUAUGCAAGACAGAUGUGAAAUCCCCGGGCUCAACCUGGGAACUGCAUUUGUGACUGCAUGGCUAGAGUACGGUAGAGGGGGAUGGAAUUCCGCGUGUAGCAGUGAAAUGCGUAGAUAUGCGGAGGAACACCGAUGGCGAAGGCAAUCCCCUGGACCUGUACUGACGCUCAUGCACGAAAGCGUGGGGAGCAACAGG
rnacentral:rRNA from 1 species